UUCUCCUACGGGAGGCAGCAGUGGGGAAUAUUGCACAAUGGGGGAAACCCCGAUGCAGCAACGCCGCGCGAGUGAUGACGGCCUUCGGGUUGUAAAGCUCUGUCUUCAGGGACGAUGAUGACGGUACCUGAGGAGGAAGCCACGGCUAACUACGUGCCAGCAGCCGCGGUAAUACGUAGGUGGCGAGCGUUGUCCGGAUUUACUGGGCGUAAAGGGAGCGUAGGCGGACUUUUAAGUGAGAUGUGAAAUACUCGGGCUCAACUUGGGUGCUGCAUUCCAAACUGGA
rnacentral:rRNA from 1 species